CACGUAGGGUGCAAGCGUUGUCCGGAAUUAUUGGGCGUAAAGAGCGUGUAGGCGGCUUGGCAAGUCCGCUGUGAAAACUCGAGGCUCAACCUCGAGACGUCGGUGGAAACUACCUCGCUAGAGUCCGGAAGAGGAGAGUGGAAUUCCUGGUGUAGCGGUGAAAUGCGCAGAUAUCAGGAAGAACACCCGUGGCUAAGGCGGCUCUCUAGUACGGUACUGACGCUGAGACGCGAAAGCGUGGGGAGCAAACAGG
rnacentral:rRNA from 1 species